UUUCGUACUCGCGAAUGCAUCCGAUGAUUUANUGAUCCUGGCUCAGAGCUGAACGCUGGCGUGUAAGCCUAACACAUGCAAGUCGGACGGCAGCACAGGAGAGCUUGCUCUCUGGGUGGCGAGUGGCGGACGGGUGAGGAAUACAUCGGAAUCUACUCUGUCGUGGGGGAUAACGUAGGGAAACUUACGCUAAUACCGCAUACGACCUACGGGUGAAAGCAGGGGAUCUUCGGACCUUGCGCGAUUGAAUGAGCCGAUGUCGGAUUAGCUAGUUGGCGGGGUAAAGGCCCACCAAGGCGACGAUCCGUAGCUGGUCUGAGAGGAUGAUCAGCCACACUGGAACUGAGACACGGUCCAGACUCCUACGGGAGGCAGCAGUGGGGAAUAUUGGACAAUGGGCGCAAGCCUGAUCCAGCCAUACCGCGUGUGGGUAGAACGANACGUGCCUAUACGGGUUAGUCAACAGCCCUAUUCGUUGGGCAAAGANAUCCACGCCCGNCCUCAAUACCUGUUUGGCGCAUCGACNCGUACCCCCCACACUCCUCCGNGUACUUCCUCCCCC
rnacentral:rRNA from 1 species